AGAAGUUGCGUUGCGUGCGGCAUAUUGCUUUCUCUUUCACUUCAGGUAACUUACUCGCAAGUUUCUUAGUGCGCAUAACCAGUUUGCUGUUUGCCGCGAUUGAGAUCGGUUGGGACGCAAAGCGUUCAGUACAGGCUGAAUUUACGAUGCAUCUCCACUUUUUCUUGACAGUGAUAUUUGGAAUGAUAUUAUUGCAAGCAGGAUUGGGUGUCGAAGGUGGUCGCUUUAAACGCGAAGAACAUGCUUUGGUAAAAAUUAUUAAAUCUCAUGCCUACAUUAGACCUCCACGACAGUUCAUUCCGACGGUCUCCUACAUGGCACCAGGACCCUACUACUCCAUUCCUUAUUACAAAACAGAGCCUUAUUCCUCUGGUGGAAUUUAUCGAUCAUUCAUACCUCACGAUGCUUAUUAUUAACAUAGAUUCCUCUUUGUUUAAAGCAUGUCUCUUUUCGUAUGUAAGCCAUUCUGUUAUUCUCAGUUUUUAGUAGGCAUCUCAUCUAUCACCACCUAUUGAAUUAACCUGAAAUCAAUUAAUCAAAGUUUGUAUGUGAAGGAGGAUUACACUUUAAAGGAAAAUAAAAAGAUAUAAGAAAAAUAUGAUGAAA